rnacentral:rRNA from 1 species
AGUGUAGGCUGUCCGCCAAGUCGAUUGUGAAAUCUCCCGGCUCAACUGGGAGGGUGCGGUCGAAACUGGCGGACUAGAGUUCGGGAGAGGAGAGUGGAAUUCCUGGUGUAGCGGUGAAAUGCGUAGAUAUCAGGAGGAACACCGGCGGUGAAGACGGCUCUCUGGACCGAUACUGACGCUGAGACUCGAAAGCGUGGGGAGCAAACAGGAUUAGAUACCCUGGUAGUCCACGCCCUAAACGAUGCGUACUUGGUGUAGGCGCUUCAUUGCGUCUGUGCCGAAGUUAACACGAUAAGUACGCCGCCUGGGGAGUACGGUCGCAAGGCUGAA